rnacentral:tRNA from 3 species
GCUUUUGAAGGAUAAUAGCUCAUCCAUU